UCCCAGACUCCUACGGGAGGCAGCAGUGGGGAAUAUUGCACAAUGGGGGAAACCCUGAUGCAGCGACGCCGCGUGAGUGAAGAAGUAAUUCGUUAUGUAAAGCUCUAUCAGCAGGGAAGAAAAUGACGGUACCUGAGUAAGAAGCCCCGGCUAACUACGUGCCAGCAGCCGCGGUAAUACGUAGGGGGCAAGCGUUAUCCGGAUUUACUGGGUGUAAAGGGAGCGUAGACGGCAAUACAAGUCGGAAGUGAAAUACCCGGGCUCAACCUGGGAACUGCUUUGGAAACUGUAUGGCUGGAGUGCUGGAGAGGUAAGCGGAAUUCCUAGUGUAGCGGUGAAAUGCGUAGAUAUUAGGAGGAACACCAGUGGCGAAGGCGGCUUACUGGACAGUAACUGACGUUGAGGCUCGAAAGCGUGGGGAGCAAACAGGAUUAGAUACCCCAGUACA
rnacentral:rRNA from 1 species